rnacentral:rRNA from 1 species
AUGUGGCGGCUGAGGAUCGCGGAGGGCGGGGACGACCCGUGGCUGCGCACGACCAACGGCUACUUGGGCCGCCAGGUGUGGGAGUUCGACGCCUCCGUGGAGCCCGACCCCGAGGAGGUCGCCGCCGUUGAGGCCGCGCGCCAGGGGUUCGUCGCGCGGAGGCACCAGCUCAAGCACAGCGCCGACCUCGUCAUGCGAAACCAGUUUGCUAAAGCAAAUCCUCUUGAGCUGGACCUUCUUGCUGUCAAGCUGGAAGAGCGUGAAGAUGUUACUGAGGAAGUUGUAUCAACUACUUUGAAAAGGGCCAUCAGUCGCCUUUCUACUCUCCAGGCACAUGAUGGACACUGGCCGGGGGAUUAUGGUGGUCCAAUGUUCCUUAUGCCAGGCUUGAUUAUAACCUUGUAUGUGACUGGAGCACUGAACACUGUCUUAUCAUCAGAACAUCAGAUUGAGAUCCGCCGGUAUCUCUAUAAUCAUCAGAACGGAGAUGGAGGCUGGGGUUUGCACAUUGAGGGACCAAGCACCAUGUUUGGUUCAGCCUUGACCUAUGUCAGUUUGAGAUUGCUUGGAGAGGGAACAGAUAGUGGAUAUGGAGCUAUGGAGAAAGAUCGAAAUUGGAUUCUAGACCAUGGAGGAGCAACGUUUGUACCAUCAUGGGGAAAAUUUUGGCUCUCGGUACUUGGUGUAUUUGAUUGGUCUGGUAACAACCCAGUGCCACCAGAAGCAUGGUUGCUACCAUAUUGCCUGCCAUUUCAUCCAGGGCGAAUGUGGUGUCACUGUCGAAUGGUGUAUUUGCCAAUGUGUUACAUUUAUGGAAAGAGAUUUGUCGGACAAGUUACGCCACUUGUUUUGGAAUUGAGAAAGGAACUUUACAAAGGCCCCUAUAAUGAGAUUGAUUGGGACAAGACUCGCAAUCAAUGUGCUAAGGAAGACUUGUACUAUCCGCAUCCAUUCGUUCAAGAUAUCUUAUGGGCCACUCUCCAUAAAUUUGUUGAACCACUUAUGAUGCAUUGGCCUGGGAGCAAACUGAGGGAGAAAGCUUUGGAAACUGCCAUGAAGCACAUUCACUAUGAAGAUGAGAACACUCGAUACAUUUGCAUUGGUCCUGUAAACAAGGUAAUGAAUAUGCUUGCGUGCUGGAUUGAAGAUCAGAACUCAGAGGCAUUCAAACUCCAUAUCCCACGAGUCUAUGAUUACUUGUGGAUUGCUGAAGAUGGCAUGAAGAUGCAGGGUUAUAAUGGCAGCCAACUUUGGGACACAACUUUCACUGUUCAAGCCAUUGUAGCUGCCAAUCUUAUUGAAGAGUUUGGUCCUACCUUAAACUAG